rnacentral:lncRNA from 1 species
AAUUACCUGGCAAUCACCAGUGAAGGAACAUUAGCUUGAUUCAAAGAAGACUCAUCUGAAGACUUAAAUACUUUCAUUUAAAUAUAAAUAUAAGAUGAUCCAUAGAAAAUACUGGUCGUAUGCAUGGGCAUUAAUGAUGUGUUAUUUAAAUAACUUGCUUAUCCAGGAGCUAAUUUUGUAACUAAUUGUCAUGUUUCACUGUGGUAUGUUUUGCUGCACGGUUGCACAGGAGAUGUAAAAUUGUGCCCCUGCUGGAAGGAAUCUGUUGGUCAACAAACUUGGUUCAGGAUGAAACUCGAUGGCUGUGGGCCCACUAACAUCAUCCUUACACAGGAAGACUGACUGUUACAGAGGUUGCCUGGAUGGGCUCUAUAGGUGGAACAACCUGAACAACAGAAACACAGGACAUUCUUAUAAGAUGAAAGCAUCCCUCUUAUAGAUCCAGGACCGGACAGGCUGUCUGCUCCGCACAGUAACAAAGA